UACGUAGGGGGCAAGCGUUGUCCGGAGUUACUGGGCGUAAAGCGCACGCAGGCGGUCAUCUGCGUAGGUGGUGACAGUUCUCGGCUUAACUGAGGAAGUGCUACCUAAACGAGUUGACUUGAGGGCCAGAGAGGGACACGGAACUCCGGGUGGAGCGGUGAAAUGCGUAGAGAUCCGGAAGAACACCAAAGGCGAAGGCAGUGUCCUGGCUGGUUCCUGACGCUCAGGUGCGAAAGCUAGGGGAG
rnacentral:rRNA from 1 species